GGGAAGUUGGCCGACUGGAAAUGCUGCACUCCUGCCUCUGGGAGGUGCGUGUGUGAGACGUGGGGCCUGUGCCCACCUGCAGGGGUGUGUGCGCCAGUGCACUAGGCUGAGGAAAGGUCGCUACUUUUGGGUGGGAGGGGAAUUAGGAACACUUAGGCGCUGUCCUGCAAGAACAUUUUAUGCAAAUCAUUUAAUGACCUAAUUUGCAUAUAACCAUAAACUUCUGUUAAAAAAAAAAACAAACCCAACCCAAACCCAA